rnacentral:tRNA from 1 species
GGUCGGAUAGUUCAAGUGGUCAAAGACGGCAGACUGUAAAUCUGCUCCCGAGGGUUCGUUGGUUCAAAUCCAGCUCCGACCACCA